AGGAAAGCAGGUCUGAAGUGCCCGUUUUAGAGUGGCUAUAUUCUGAUGUGUUACGACUAUAACUUCGGCCCAGGGACCAAGCUGACCAUUGUAGACGACCUGAGCAAGGUGACCUCCCCCAAGGUCACCGUGUUUGAACCCUCCGAAGCAGAGAUCUCCCGCACCCAGAAGGCCACCCUCGUGUGCCUGGCCACAGGCUUCUACCCCGACCACGUGGAGCUGAGCUGGUGGGUGAACGGGAAGGAGGUGGAGAGCGGGGUCAGCACGGACCCUCAGCCCUACAGGGAGCAGCCCGACCAGAGCGACUCCAGCUACUGCCUGAGCAGCCGGCUGCGGGUCUCCGCCGCCUUCUGGCGCAGCCCCCGCAACCACUUCCGCUGCCAAGUCCAGUUCUACGGGCUCGCGGAGGGGGACCCGUGGCCGGAGGGCCGGGCCAGGCCCGUCACCCAGAACAUCAGCGCCGCCGCCUGGGGCAGAGCAGACUGUGGCUUCAGCUCAGCGUCCUAUCAGCAGGGCAUCCUGUCUGCCACCCUCCUCUACGAGAUCCUGCUGGGCAAGGCCACCCUGUACGCUGUGCUGGUCAGCGCCCUGGUGCUGAUGGCCAUGGUCAAGAGAAAGGAUUCCUAAUGCCAGCGCAGAGGUGAAGCCAGGAGCUUCCAGACGGCUGUUUUCCCAGGAUGGAUUCUAGCCGGUGCUUCAGAAGAGCUGUUCUCACCUCUUAUCUCAACAGCUACCUGCUACGUGCAUGCAUGCCUGGAUGCUCAUGUCCCAAAUCUCCCUAGCCCAGGGGGUACCCUAGCAUGACCACAUUGACUGAACAAAUAAAAAUGUCUUGUUCUGGCUUGACUCUG